AUUUUAUUAUGUUUAUGUUUAGAAGUACAUUUCAUUUAAGGUUUUCUAGAUGUGUUUGCUCUUUUUCCUAGAGAAGUUAUGUUGUGCAAGCUUUGUGUGCUUUCCAGAGCUCUCUGACUUUCACACCCACAUCCUGGGAGCAUGGGAGAGGUCACACCUUGUCUUAUUGUUUAUUGCCAUUUAUGCUUAGAAAUGUUUACUCAUAUAUGCUUAGAAGUAUAUAAUCAUUUGUAGAUUGAAAGAAUGUCUUAUCCUAGGAGGUCUGUAACAACUCUGUGUAGCAUGAAGAGGGGAGUGCGUUCACUCCUCCUCAGAGUGUUCUGGCAUAGAUCACACGUCUCCUAGGAGCGGCCAUGUCUUCUCUUGCUGAUAUAUGGUAUAGCAAACAUACGUAUAUCUGUUUGAGUCUAAGAGUUUGUUGUUUAGAUGGACCGCUAGACUCCUGGCACCAGCUUUGGGGAGUCUUCACGGGAUCAUAUCUCACUCCACACACGCACACACACACACAAGGUAUACGUCAUAUGUUAAUGAAACUAUGCAUAUUCAUGUAACCACAAUAAAAGAGCAGUGUUACGGGAGGACGGACGAGAGCAACUGAGGUCAAGCGAAGGAACGGCGCCUGUCCAGUUCUCUCCCGUGCACGUUAAUUUGUAAAACCUGUCUGAGUGUCACUUAUUCCGCCCGCGCUGAAGUCUGUCGACAGCUCCUGUCUAGGUACAGGAUAAAAGACCAGAGACGUGAAUUCGGGUUCUGGCUGGCGUUUUUAGAAGUGGUCCACGACGGUGGGGGUCGAUGAGGCGGACCUGAGAGACCGGCAGUAAAUCAACAAGCAGGUGAAUAUUGACACUCUGAGACACGUUGCGUAAAACCGUGUAAGCUUGCCCAGAGAGGCUGGUAGCAUUUUAAAAUAAAGAUAGAGUUCGUCUGGGACUGGUAGCUCCCCCGUAGUAGGUAAAUAAAAUAAAGAUAGAGCUCGUCUGGGACUGGCAGCUCCCCCGUAGUGGGUAAAUAAAAAAUAAAGAUAGAGCUCGUCUGGGACUGGUAGCUCCCCCGUAGUGGGUAAAGUUAGCGCGCGCAUAAAGGUAUUUAUUGUUUUAUUUUUGUGUUGAUGGAAUAAGUUGACUUUACAGCACAAUAAGGAGGCUGAACUAUUCCAUUAAUUUGUUUACUGUUGGCCACCCAAGUACUGGUGAAGAGAGAAAAAGGUCGUGCUUUAUCACAUAAAGAUGACACCGCUUUCAAGAAUAGCUUGAAAGUAGAAGGCCGUGUCAACUACCUCUCUCGAUUCUCGUGCCAGAGAAGGUGCCGCAGUUGUGUAGUUGUAAAGGAUUAAAAUGGGUAACGAAGCUUCAAAACUCACGGCUGACGAGCAGUGGUUAGAGGAAAAAAUGUCCAGGCGCCGGACAAAUUAGUGCAUGUAGAUGGAGAGAUCAAGAGAAAAAAAAACUAAAUGUCCCACAUGGGAGGGAAAAUGUAGCCCCUCCGCAUUGACUAAAUUAAAAGAAACCCUCCAAGCAGAAAUGAAUACUGAAAAGAAUCCAAAAAAGAAAACAAAACGUAAUUGUCUCCCAUUGUGAGAGCGGUGAUUCUGCAGGUCACCAGCUAGUGUAAAAAAAAAAGAAGAAAAAAAGAGAGAGAGUAAGAAGUAGAAAAAUCUACAUUGUAGAUGAGAAAUAUACAUAGGGAAAAAGGUUUUGAGUUUAUCAGCCAAGAACAACUACAAUCUCAUUUUCUACUUUUAAGAAAGGAGAGUUCACAAAAAAUAGAGAGAGAGUUCUGUGUGUCGGUUAAGCAGUGAGAACAAAGAUCAAAAUGUCUCAGUGUGUCACUUGCAGGUGAGGAGCAGACCCGGAUCAAUUUCCCAUAUGCAGCAGUCGGAAGGAAAUUAUAGUUUAACAUCAUUGGAAAUGUUCAGGCCAAUUUUUGGCUAACUUAUUUACAGCUCCAUGUGUCCCUCAUCCUCACAAGCGAGCUCUCACUCCUCCCUGAAGACAAGGAAUGCAGUUCCAAAGAGCAAUAACAUGGCAGAUAAAGAGACAGCAGCGAAGUCCUGAGCAAAGAGACCCAGCAAGCAGCAGCAGUGUGGACAAACAGCAGUGGAGAAGAAGAGCAAACCCAUCAUCCUGACUGAUUGGAUGAAUGACACUGUGUUUCCAACAAGCUGCAAAGUCACUGUGCUUGUGAAAAGGACUUUUGAGGAGAACUGAGGAGACUGUUUGACAUUUGCUGCUUUUGGAGAAAAUGGCAAGAAGAGACAGUGGAACACAGGACAAAGCUGAAGAAGAACUGCCGGCUAUUGGACUGUUGAAGUGGGAGAGGACAACAGAGUGAGAGCAGGUGAGAACACAGAAGAAAGCUGGUGUUUAAUGUGGGAAAUCAAAAUUUGGGUUAGCAAAUCUGGGGAAAAGAAAACUGACUGCUUAAGUGGAAAGUUGUGAAGGAGUCUGAAACACUGCGAAAAGAAACAUAUACAAAAUCACACACACAAGCAGAACAUGCAUUAACCCUACUAACACAAACAAAAGAGAGCUCAUGAAGAUUAGGCACCAUCUUGAGCAUGUGAGUCUGUUUAUCAUCUUGUCCAAGUCACCUGGUGUGAUGCAAAGACCAGUGGACUCAUAGCACAUUAGUUAAGAAAGGAUCAAAUAAUAGCAGAGGAGUGUGUAGGAAAGGCAGCUUUAAGAACAUGCCCUGCUGGAGAUGCAGCUCCAGACACAUUGAUUAAACCUGCCUAAUAACACACACACACAUGCAAUGAAGAUCAGCUUGUUAUCUCUCAUCAGUGUUAAAAUAGUGUAAAUUUAACAGAGACUUGUUAUCAAAUGCUGAAUUUAUCCAAUGCUGACAGUUAACUCUCUAGGUUGCAGGACAACAGUUUAAUUUUGUGGAAAAAAAAAAAACAGGAUUCUGGUUUGACCAACCAGUGAUCAGACAAUAAAUUUAGUUGUUAAUAUAGUAAAUUGGGAGAUGCUUUCUGCUUGACUGAUGCAGCACAAGUAAUUUAUUGUAUGACGGAAAUUCUAUUUUGUGAUAAUAUUUUGAACAUGCAUUUCUGUUGUCCUGUCAACUUGGUGAGUUAACAGCGGAUAUGCAAAUUAGUUGAUGGUUCUUAGAUUAAUGAAAGGUGACUGAAUUCUAGCACGAGUGAAUGGGAUGUGUUGGAGUUUGUUGGAAUGGAGACUCUAAAACACGGAGUUUCCUGCUGUGAUGUGCGAGUGAAUCCUGCACCCAGAUACACAACUCUGAAUACAUGAGAACAAACUUCUUUUGCGAAAUGCAUGACAUGUCACAUGUUUUAUGAUGACGGGGAAGAAAGAAAACUAAAUAAAAUCUGUGGCCUAAAUGAGUAAAAAGUACAGUCCUGGGGAUUAAAAUUCAUAGCUAAUGAGACAUGAGGCUUAUGUUGUGUGUUGUGCGGCUAAUGGUUGGUUGGGUUGGAAUUUAUCUAGCUGAUGAUUUUUCUUUUGUUGUGAAGUUGAGCCUGCCAAUUAGUAUGAUGGUAUGAUGAACCGUGCUAAUGGUAUGAUUUACCCUCCUGAGAUGAGGAGUGUGUGUCAUGACUUAACGAGGCCUUUUUAUUUUGAUACUUUCACAGUGCACUGAAAGUUUUGUUUGAUAACCUCUGUUUGAGCAGAUCUGCACGAUUAGAACUGAAGCGCUAUACGACACGUCGUCAAGAAAAUUGUUGCAAGUGAGUUUCUCCAAAAGAUUGCAAUGGGCUCUGGAGAAAGCCACUUAUAUGGGACAAUUAGAAAAUAGGUCCCUACCCAAAGAAGGAUUAAGCGAGAUAAUCCAAUAUAAAGUUCUUCUUUUCUUUUUGAAAUGACGUCAUUUUGCUGAGAAGUGGAAAUGAAAAUGCGACGGUAAUUUCCACUGUCAGCAAAGAAUGAAUGAAUGAAUGAAUGAAUGAAUGAAUGAGAGAAAAUAAAACUGACUGACUGACAUCACUGUGCGAAGUUAACCCCCACCUGACAAAGGUGCAGAUGAAUCUAUGUGUGUUUCUUUUUUUUUACAGGAGCAGAAAGAUGACAACAACAUCGAGGUUGCAUGAUGAUUUAACCUUUUAAAUGCCACUUUCUGUGUCUGUGCAUCUACCAGGGGUGUUAUUCACUACCUUGUGUUGCUCACAGAGGUGACUGUGAGAAAGUGUGUAUACACCUGUGCAGCGCUAACUUUUCUACAGCAUUACAGUUCUUCAUGUGAUUUGAUCAUGUGAUUUAUACCAGGAUAGCUGGUUGAUGUUUUCCUACUACAGGAUUUCUGGGUUUAUGUGUGAAGAAAACUGUGUUUACAGGUUAUGAGUUGGUGAUGCUGUUACACUGUGUUGUUGGGAAAAUGUGAAGGUUACUUUGACGAUGUGAAUAACAUGUAAAACAUUCUGUCCACAGCUAUGGUCUUUAUGGUCUUUUUAUAGCACCUCUGGACCCUGUCAAUUUGUGCCUGACCACCAGGAUUGUCCAUGUGUGUUGCUGAUGUUUGUUUGUCUAAGAGUGCAUGUAGAGGAUUCAGCAGAGAUGGACAAGUAACAUGAGAAAGCAACUAAGAGAUGCAGUGUUUGUGGAAUAGUUUAAUAUGGGGCUCAUUAGCUGGCCACUACUGAGCUCCUAGUUAUAGCUGAGUGGAGUGACUUUGCUUAAGAGAAGUCACCGAUUACAUUAAUGUUAACUGAGUACAUGGGAUGAUCCAUGUCUGAGGCAAAUUAUGCCAAUAAUUGUAGUCUACUGAUUUGAGAAAACCUGCACAUGAUGCUUGUCCUGCUGAUGCUGAGUGCUCUAUUACUCUUAUGAUACAAUUGUUUAUAAGUGUGAAGUUUGAUUUCACUUCCAGAUCUUGUUUUCCAGGCCAUGAUGGUGUGUAUGCAGGCUCCUGGAGAAGCCGGAGUUUUAAGCAAACUUAAUAUGCAAAACACAUUAACAUCUUUUAUUGCAGGGUUACGGAGCUACUCCAGAGGAGGUGAAGCCCUGAGGGUGCCUGGGACAUGAUCUAGCUAAUCUUUUUCUUUCAGACAGGAAUCAAGGUUGGAUGAGUUGACUCAUGGGAGUGUCCAUGCGUCAAGAGGAGGGGUCCAGAGUUAAAGAGUUACAUGAAACUAUCUUUUCUAUGUUUUCUAAACUAUGUUUUUUUAUGAUUUUUGUGUGAUUUGUGUGAUUAACAGUUCAUUUACGGGUAUUAAACCUAUGCAAGUGGUGCAUCCAUGUUCAGCCGAGGCUUUGAUGGUCCAUAAAUGAAGCUCACUGAACUAAAGAAUGUGGUUUGAUGAUGAUUGACAUGCUCCCCAAAUAGAAGUUUUUCCUCCUAGCAAGGAAAUACAGGUGCAGCAGUCAGAGUAUUGCUGAAAGGAAUCUCCUGAGAAAACUUCAGAGGCCCAGUGAGAAGCGAGAACCAUUCCAAGCAGAGCUGACAGCCCAGGCAGUGGUUGAGGUCAAAGGUCGAGCUGUUUGGGGCCCAUCAUGAGAUCAGAUUGAAGCUGUGUUGGAAUGAGAGCUGUGCCAAGCUCCAACGACAGCGCAGAGGGAGUCCAAGGAUGACAUCAUGAUUCUGUGAAAAGCACAGGAACCAGAAGCUAUGGUGGUGAUGACAGCAGUUUCCUGUGAACAUCACCCAAUGCUGUGUCACUAUACUGUGCACACGUUGGCACACUGACGACUGCUGGGAUCAUAACAGCAGUAAGAUAACUGGAUCCAGCACCCCCUCCACAGAGGGUUUUUCCUGCAGAGGAUGGACAAUGGAGGAGUCAUAUGUAUCCCCCACAGGACAGGGAGGCCUGAAGUGAGGUGAUGGGGGUUGGUAGAGGCCACAAAACUCAAGUGUUGACGAGGCCUGCAGCUUUGAAGAUAGCUGAGACCCAUGUUGACAAACAACAAACUCAACUGGUAUGUCUGAAUGUCUAUUCUACAUACAUUUGGACUCUGGUCCUAUGGACAGUGAUGGAAACAACUGGAAGAGACAUUUAUGACACCCUGCAGAACUUAAACCACUCUGCAGAGAGACGUGCGAUUUACAUGUCUUGCAGAGGAGCACCACCAAGCUGGAGUGAUCUUGAAAAUGUUAAUUUCUUUCUGACCAUUAACAACUCAUUUGUUUGCUUGCAGGAUGCAGUUUACCAUUGAAUGAGAUCAAUGAGAAAUUGGGUAACUGCUAAUACAUUUGUGAAACUGUGUACGUUUACAUAUGCUGAGUAUAAAAAUGGUUACAUCACCCUACCACAGAAUGAAGAAGAUGAUAAUGAGAUAGACAUUUGGAUAUAACAUACUCACAAAACCCACUAAUUAAUGAUGUCCUGGCUAAAAAUGUUUUACAAGUGGCCGUAGACUGAUACAGUGUUAGUGAGUUGCUAUGUAUAUAUAGGAGAAAAGAUCAAACAACAGGAGGGAAUGUUGAAAGAUUUUAUUAUGUUUAUGUUUAGAAGUACAUUUCAUUUAAGGUUUUCUAGAUGUGUUUGCUCUUUUUCCUAGAGAAGUUAUGUUGUGCAAGCUUUGUGUGCUUUCCAGAGCUCUCUGACUUUCACACCCACAUCCUGGGAGCAUGGGAGAGGUCACACCUUGUCUUAUUGUUUAUUGCCAUUUAUGCUUAGAAAUGUUUACUCAUAUAUGCUUAGAAGUAUAUAAUCAUUUGUAGAUUGAAAGAAUGUCUUAUCCUAGGAGGUCUGUAACAACUCUGUGUAGCAUGAAGAGGGGAGUGCGUUCACUCCUCCUCAGAGUGUUCUGGCAUAGAUCACACGUCUCCUAGGAGCGGCCAUGUCUUCUCUUGCUGAUAUAUGGUAUAGCAAACAUACGUAUAUCUGUUUGAGUCUAAGAGUUUGUUGUUUAGAUGGACCGCUAGACUCCUGGCACCAGCUUUGGGGAGUCUUCACGGGAUCAUAUCUCACUCCACACACGCACACACACACACAAGGUAUACGUCAUAUGUUAAUGAAACUAUGCAUAUUCAUGUAACCACAAUAAAAGAGCAGUGUUACGGGAGGACGGACGAGAGCAACUGAG
ensembl:lncRNA